rnacentral:lncRNA from 1 species
AAGUUAUGAAAAAGCAAGAGAAUUAAGGAUCAUCACACGCAUGCAAAAUCUAGUUUCAAUUCAUUUGGGCCAAACGUACAUCUGCAAAAUCUGAUCUGAUAUUAAUAUUUUGAGUUCUUCUUUUGUCUUUGUUUGUUGUUUCAUUUACAGUUCCAACUUUGCAAUCACCAAAAAUUUCGUCAAACUCUUUCCUCCAAUCAAAGAUUUCGCAUAAUUCAAUUUCAGAUUAAUCACAUGCGUACUGUUUUAGGGGAAAAAAACAAUUAUGAUUCGACGAUGACAAAUUUGCGAUAAGUUUGUUUUCUAUUCACAAUAAUGUUAAAAAGUUGCUAUGUGAAAAUUUUUAUUAUAUUAGUUGUUUUUUUAACAUAUUUUAAAUAAGUAUAUGACAAAAUUUUAACUUGCAGAUAGAGUCUUAAAUCUCAAUCGAUAGUGUUUGAAAUAUUUAUAUUAUAUUAUAUUAUAUACAUAUUCAGUUCUUUUGGGUAAAUCUACAUUUGCAAAAUUCAAUAUGCUAUUUUGGUUUUUUCCUAAAAAAAUCACAAUUUUUAUUGUUAUAUUUAUAUUUAAAAAUAAGAAAAGA